AAUAAGUGUAGUUUUACAUUUAUUCACGUUUAACGUUUGAUCGUUUGUUUUAUUUGAAAUUUUUUUAUAAUUAGUAUUUUAUUGCUAUUAGAUGAUAAAACAUGAAUAGUACUUUAUGUGUGACUAAAUAUUUUACAAAUUUUUCAAAUAAGAAGGAUGGUCAAACGUUGGGUACGGAUAUCCACGACUGUACUUAUU
rfam:Oryza barthii chromosome 6, whole genome shotgun sequence.